UACGUAGGGUGCAAGCGUUGUCCGGAAUUAUUGGGCGUAAAGAGCUCGUAGGCGGUUUGUCGCGUCUGCUGUGAAAACGCGGGGCUCAACUCCGCGCCUGCAGUGGGUACGGGCAGACUAGAGUGCAGUAGGGGAGACUGGAAUUCCUGGUGUAGCGGUGGAAUGCGCAGAUAUCAGGAGGAACACCGGUGGCGAAGGCGGUUCUCUGGGCCUUACCUGACGCUGAGGAGCGAAAGCGUGGGGAGCGAACAGG
rnacentral:rRNA from 1 species